GCGCCUGUUUCCGGCACGCCACUUCCGGCGCACUGAUCCCGCCUGGGGCCGGCUGAGUGGCACUUAAGCGGGCCAUGCAGUGCAACGUUGGGCGCUGCCAACCGUGGGCGAGCUCUGGGUGUGCGGGCGGCCUGGCGCGGCGCUCCGCUGUGUCAGCGUGUUAUGAUGCCGUCCCGUACCAACCUGGCUACCGGAAUCCCCAGUAGUAAAGUGAAAUAUUCAAGGCUCUCCAGCACAGACGAUGGCUACAUUGACCUUCAGUUUAAGAAAACCCCUCCUAAGAUCCCUUAUAAGGCCAUCGCACUUGCCACUGUGCUGUUUUUGAUUGGCGCCUUUCUCAUUAUUAUAGGCUCCCUCCUGCUGUCAGGCUACAUCAGCAAAGGGGAACAAAAGAAAGCUGACCACAAACAUCUACCAGCAUCCCGCGGGUACAUGAUGGGAGGCAUCAGUGGGAGGAGUCCCGAAGGAGGACUCAGCUCAAGGCUUCCAGAAGGAAGAGGAACACAGGUGUCACCACCUGACUGAGGUUCUGGCCAAUGGAACACAGGUGGAAGUUGUUGGAGAAAACGACUUAAAACGGGAACAGCUGCAAUAUCAGCUGCAAGACAUUCUUUUACCUUUCCACCUGCCUGGGACCUGGAUGUGGAACUGCAGCGUGCCUUGCAAACUUGAAGAGAACAACCUUGAUAAUGGAUGGUGAAGCAAGAAAGAGGAGCCUGAGGCUGGGCGCAGUGAUUCACACCUGUAAUCCCAACACUUUGGGAGGCUAAGGUGGGCAGAUUGCUUGAGCCCAGGAAUUUGAGACCAGCCUGGAUAACGCGUGGUGGGCAGUUCCAGGACACCUGACAUGUUCCCACUGCAGAAACCGCACGGGUUUCUCCAGCACCGCUGAAACUUGCUCAGCCCGUGUAGAGUAGCCUGGACAUACUGGGGCUUUAUUUUCCUGAGGACAACCCUCAACCAAUGAGUGCCAGGAAUCCUUUUGCCUUUUCUGGGAUGCUCCAGAACUCUAGGAGGACAAAAAAGCCCUUCAUGUCUAACAUAAGAGGAAGGCAGCAUCCUCCAAAGAAGAGUGACUCACCCUGACCAGCUGGCAGAGAAGCCCAAGGCCAGGCCCUGGGACGUGGAGAGCCAGUCCCAGCCUGGUCUGGAAGGAGGCGUGCCAGGGUGGCAAUGAUGCAUCACCCACGUGGUUUACUGGCCUUGACUAACCUGACCAUGACUUAGCAAAGCUGUGAGGUUUCCCAGUCUGGGCCAAUAUGGGUGUGCGGGUAGAAUACAGCCAGCAUGGGGAGGCGAAGGCCUGAGCAGCAUGCCAAAACCGGGAACUUGUGGCCUCCUUCCCCAUCACCGCAGCCCGUCUCCACCCUUCCUCACAUCAGCCCCUGCUUCCCCGGUCAUUCCAGGGACGGGGGUCUCCAGUGCAGCCCACUCCUCGUCAUGGUAUUACUCCAGUACAACUCCAAUCUGACCUACAGUUUUGGUGUUUGGCAUGGCAGGGGCGUGAUCCCUACUACAUACAACCAAUGAGUCACAGACUUUUGGUCCAGUCUGUGGACUGGUCACUUCCUGUCCUUCAUAUGAGCUCCCACAGAACCCGGGUCCUGCUCCAGAGCCCAGGCAUUAGACAGGCCCUGGCCUUAACCCAGUUAUCUCAGAGGCAUCCCACAUGUGUCCAGGACACCUGGGAAGCUGGUGGUAGUGAGGAGUGAAGGGCAGUAGGGGGCCUCUGCUCUGGCCCCCUGGCUUCCUGCAAGCCAGGAAAAUAGGCCCCACUCACAGCCGCUUCUCCCCUGCUGGCUAGCCUCAAAGAGAUCAUUAGAGGGACUUUGCUGCCCAUAACAACAAGGACCAUUGGUGAAAACAAGCAGCUCAGGGAAAUGGAUCAUGGAAAUCACAGAAACAGAGAUUUCUCUGUUCCCAUCCCCUAAGAUCACCAGUGCCCCUGCUCCUGACAAUUGGUCACCUCUCAGGCAACAUCUGAGCCUCUGGUGUCCCUUCCUUGUGACAGAGUUCAUGAUACUCAUGGGUUAUUUCAAUGCAUUGGGAAGUUAAUCUUUUUUUUUGAGAGAUGUUGCCUAGGCAACAUGGGGUCUUGCCAUGUUGCCUAGGCUGUUCUCAAACUCGAGCUCAGGUGAUCUUUCCCACCUCGGCCUCCCAAAGUGCUGGGAUCACAGGUGAGAGCCACCACACCUGGCUGAGGAAGUUAGUCUUUAUAAUGAGACUAAACCUGCCUUCCUAUAUUUUUCAUCUUUUCAUGUGCUUAUUGGAUAUUUGCAUUUCAUUCAUG